AUUUGAUAGUGCACACCAAGUGUUUGAUAGCUGUCCUCUCUUACUAGUUUAGAAUAUUGGGGGCCUUCAGAUAGAGGGGGUUGUUUCUGAUUCUUCUUCUAUAAGGUUUACUGAACAUAAGAGGUGGCUUAAAUCUAGUAACUGUUAAGGUUUCUGGUGUGGACGCGUGCAAUAUUUCAAUGUAGUUCUGCACCAUUACUACCUUGCAGAUAUGUAAUGGACAAGAAUUUCAGUGCACGACGAAGGGAAAUAUAUUCUGCUGCACAUAAGGCAGGAACUAAAGUAUUCUUGAAGAGCCUGAAAAAUCAUAACAAGGGUGUAGCUCUAGAU